rnacentral:misc_RNA from 1 species
CACAUCUCAAGCAUUGCUUUGCUUGGUCUUGGAACGAGUCCCUGCUGUGGGCCGGUCCGAAAGUUAGCGGUUACGCUACUGAGGUCUAGGCGUAGUAACAUUUUUUCGCUUCAGAUAUCUCGGUAAGUCGCGACCGAUUAAAUCUGCUCUGCUGCAAGGCGAGCGCACUUGAU